GAACAAUCAAUGGGGAGAUCUCUGGUUCCAUGUGAGGUCUAAUUCUGAAACAUCUAACAGAGAAUCUGAGGACAAUCCUGAGGAGAGAACAUCAUGACCGCCCCCCAUACCUCUGCGCAAGCCUACAUUGAUAACUUUAACGCCAGGGAUUACUUACAGACAUCCUAUGCUCCCGGAAAAGGAAUCCUUUUUGGAGAAUGGAUCGAAUUUGCAACACGAAAUCUACAUGAAACUUUCACCACAGGUGGAGUAAGAGGAGAUACUCUGCUUGAUUUUGGCACCGGAGCCUCCAUUUAUCACCUCCUCUCAGCCUGUGAAGUGUUUGAUAAAAUCAUUGUUUCAGAUUUACUCGAGCAAAACCGCGCUGAAUUUAAAAAAUGGCUGAACAAGGAUCCAGAUGCUUUUGACUGGACUCCCAUCAUCAAACGUGUAUGUGAGCUGGAGGGAAACAGGGAGGAUUCGGAGAAAAAGGCUGAGAAACUCCGCAUAUUAGAACCGCCCAGUGACUGUGACCAGUGUGAACUACCCUUCAUCAAGCAUUCAUCACUAUGGCUACUGGAAGUACUUCAAAGUUCAGACACAUAUUUGAGAAAGAUGAGGACAACAUCAUUGGAUAUGACCGGACCAUGAAAAGAAAGGACAAAAUGGAGAUAGUACUGUCUCUUCAAUCAGAGUUAUAUGCCAAAUAUGGAGUGCGGCAUGAAAUACCAGCCAUCCCCAAAAAAUGGUGUGACAUCAAGUUCCUACACCCAGAUCUGGUCGAAGAGUAUAGUCAGCGAUUAUGCCCAGAUUAUUUGCACAAUAUUGAGACAGAAGGGAUGGAGAAUAAGGUCAAGUUGGAUGCAGCACAUCUGACGGGAAUGAGGCAUAUCUAAAUGUAGUGUUUUUUAUAGUACACACUGCCCCACUCGAGGAGUGCCAUAGGGUAUAUGCUAUAUUGUUAUAUUAGCCCUUAUGGUUUAGCCUUUAUUUUUUUAUUUUUUCAACAGUUGAUCUGCCCUCUGUGUCAUCUGCUUACCGGCUGGAGGAGACCCCUCCCGAGUUGAACAAUGUCCGCACGACCCUUAGGAUAACCCCCCCUGGAUAGCCACGUGAUAUGUGGUGGUCCUCGGGGAUUUACCCGGAGUGGUAGGGUAGCAGCCCUGUAAUGGGGACUAUCCCUGCCUAUCGGCGGCGUUAUACUCGGCAAUAGAGCUGGUUCUAUGUAGCAGUAGUAUUGACUCGCAGAGAUAGGGCAGUUUUCCAAUAAUCAAAAUGGCACGUGUGUGCCUGGAUUACACUGGGCAUGCGCGGAAUAUCUAACACACCUAAGAUGGUCAUCGGUGCGGUGGCUGGGGAACACGCAUGCGCCGGCAAUUGCCUCUGACGCAUGGCGUCCGCAGCUGCUUGCACGCCACCUGAUUGGCACUCCCCUGAGCAGGUGCAGUAGGAUGUACACAACACUGAAAUGAUACACGGAUCGUGUGCCUUACCUGACUGGUAUGUCUGCGCUAUCUUUCUUUGGCUGCUCCCCCUGUAUUUUAGGUCAUUAUUUAUCACCUGACAUGGUCAGCACUGAAUAUGAUUUAAAUUAGUAUGUAUUGCAUGUUCUUUAGCACAAGAUUAAUACAUGUACCACAAUUGAUAUACAUGACCAUGUCUUUAUUACAUAUUGUACUUUGUAUACAUUGUAUGCACUUUUUUAAUUGUAUUGUAUGUUUUUUUGGUUCACUCCCUCCGGCUGGAUUGGGUCACAUGACUUUGAUGUUGAUUUUUUUACCUAUAUAUAUAUGUCACCAUUUGCAUGAGUUCUCUGCUUGAAAAAGGCUCUAGUAUUGAGCCGAAACGUUGUACCACACGGGUGAAUAAAGGAGUCAUUUGUUCAUGACCUACUGGAGUGCCGUUAAUUUUCUGGACUAUAUAUAUAAUAGAUUUUUUUUU